GGACAUAACCUCAAAAACACAUAGUCUUAGUGGAGUUGCCUUAUAAAGGUCAAUUAGUAGAAGAUUCAAACGGCUAUUAUUCUUUUACUAGUUUGAGAUCAAACCCUGGCAGCUUCACUCAGAAGAAUGAAAGGAACUUCUGAACUCUACACUCCCCAAGAGUCUGACCUCCUUGGUCUAAAAAAGAAGUCAUUUUUGAAAAUGGAUAUUGAUAAUCUAAGUCAAAGGAAUACAAGAUACCAAAUUUCUUUGCUGUGGCUAACAUAACUGAAAGCAGUGAAUUAAACUGGCUUAUAUUCAUUUGUUGAGAAAAUAAGACCAUGAAGACAGCAUAUCACCUGCUUUCCUGUCUAAAUGCCUACUUCCUGAAAGACAACUUGAGGCAACUCUGGCUGAACAAAUCUGGUUUGAGUUUUUAUGACUGAUUUCUAAAUUCUGGAACUGAGUGUACCUCAUAAUAACAUAGAGAUAUCAAGAAAGGAAAGAAAGCAAGAUACUAAUGGAAUUUAACACCAAGAGUUUUUAACUCAGGAAUAUAUUAAAACUCUUAUUGUGAUUUUGACUCCUUCGUUACUAAAAGGUCCGAUACAAUCUAACCAUUUUAACCAACUAAUAUAUACACUGUUGUACUAAAAUUUAACAUUCUACAUCUUACAUUUUAAUGUAAUUUAACAUUAC
rnacentral:lncRNA from 1 species